GUCAUAGCAGACAAGUCGCAAGAAAAUAAAUCGCUGGAACAUUUUGGAGUUGGCGGCCAUCAUCGAGUGUCACGUCAGCAAAUCUCAGGAGACUCUAGCUCCGGAAGGAUUAAACUCACAGUUUGUUGUGUUCGGAGUCAGCGGGGAAGAGGCAGUCCGGGAAGAGUUUGGGAAAAGUGAGGCCAGCAUACUUGGGCCGGUUCUCCACAUAGUUCCUCACAGUCGGCUGUAGCUUCUUCAUGAACUCCGGCGACGGUGUACCGAGCUGCUCGAUCACCUUGUUCCAUUGGUCAAUGUCUGAUGCGGGAUUAAGGCUAAUACACACAUACUGGCAAUAUUCUAGAACAAUCGGGAUAACGAACAGGAAAUCACGUUUAUGCUUUUGCUGAUUUUCUUCUGGGCAGUGUUUUGUAAAAGGAUAAUUAGCUACAAAACAGUUUAAUUUAUUUUUUGCAUUGGAUCUCAUUCGAUGUUGGAAGGUCUACUUAAAAUUGUGAACACUUGCAAUUAAAAUAAGGUCUGCCCUUGAACAAAAAAACA